rnacentral:rRNA from 1 species
AUGGAGGCAUUGACAGACAUGGUUGUCAAGGCAGAAUCAGAGGGCGUCAUUAGUUAUAUGCCGGGCUGUUCUCCGCUUCAGAGGCUCUUGAUUUACGCUGAUGAUGUGGUCCUCAUCAGGCCAACUUCUCUUGACUUUGCCUUCGCCAGAAGAGCUUUGACAAUUUUCGGUAUGGCCUCUGGUCCCUGUGUCAAUUAUGCCAAAUCAUCAACGAUCCUUAUCAGAGGAGAGGAGCAAGAACAACUUCUGGUUGCUUCAGCCUUACCCUGCCAGAUUGGGAAUUUCCCUUGCAAGUAUUUGGGAUUGCAAUUCUCAGUGGGAUAG